AGCGUCUGUAGUGCAAUUGGUUGAAGCAUGUCCCUCGGAAAGGGUGAGAUGCGGGUUUGAGUCCCCGCUGACGUCA